rnacentral:lncRNA from 1 species
UCUAGAGUUGGAAGAGAUCUCAUGGGCCAUCCAGUCCAACCCCCUGCCAAGAAGCAGGAAAAUCGCAUUCAAAGCACCCCCGACAGAUGGCCAUCCAGCUUCUGUUUAAAAACCUCCAAAGAAGGAGCGCGGCAGAGAGUUCCACUGCUGAACAGCUCUCACAGUUCUGUUAUGCUGCUCAUAGGGCUUGUUCUCCAGACCCUUGAUCAUUUUAGUCAUCCUCCUCUGGACACAUUCCAGCUUCAGCUUGUCAACAUCUCCCUUCAACUGCAGUGCCCAGAAUUGGACACAGUAUUCCAGGUGUGGUCUGACCAAGGCACAAUAGAAGGGUAGUAUGACUUUCCUGGAUCUAGACACUAUACUCCCUAUUUAUGCAGGCCAAAAUCCCAUUGACUUUUUUAGCUGCCACAUCACAUUGUUGGCUCAUGUUUAACUUGUUGUCCAUGAGGACUCCAAGGUCUUUUUCACAUGUACUGCUGUCGAGCCAGGUGUCCCCCAUUCUAUAUCUUUGCAUUUCAUUUUUCUGCCUAAGUGGAGUAUCUUGCAUUUGUCCCUGCUGAACUUCAUUUUGUUAGUUUUGACUCAUCUUUCUAAUCUGUUAAGAUUGUUUUGAAUUCUGCUCCUGUUUUCUGGCGUAUUGGCUAUCCCUUCCAAUUUUGUGUUGUCUGCAAACUUGAUGAUAGUGCCAUCUAACACGUCUUUUAAAAGUCAUUAAUGAAGAUGUUAAACAGAACUAGGCCCAGGACAGAACCCUGCUUAUGGCACACCACUCAUCACCUCUCUCCAGGAUGAAAAGGGAGCAUUGAUGAGCACCCUUUGGGUUCGUUCACUUAACCAGUUACAGAUCCACCUAACCUUAGUUUUGCCUAGCCCACAUUUGACUAGUUUGUUUGCCAGAAAGUCACAGGGGUCCUUGUCGAAGGCCUUACUGAAAUCCAAAUAUACUACAGCCACAGAGUUCCCUGCAUCGAAAAAAGAGAUUAGAUUAGUCUGUCAGUGUUUUUGAGAAAUCCAUGUUGACUACUAGCGAUGACCGCAUUCCUUUCUAAGAGUUUGCAGACCACCUCCUUAAUUAUCUUUUCCAGAAUCUUGCCUGGUAUCCACGUGAGACUGACCAGAUGGUUAGGACUUGGAAGGGCAGCUAUGACGGAACUAAACAAGCUCUUGAAGUAUCAGAAUAUAUCACUGAAGACUAAAGCUUGAUUAGUUCAUGUCACUUUAUUAAUUCGUGUACAGUACUUCAA